UACGUAGGGUGCGAGCGUUGUCCGGAAUUAUUGGGCGUAAAGAGCGUGUAGGCGGUCAGAUAAGUCCGCUGUGAAAACUCGAGGCUCAACCUCGAGACGUCGAUGGAAACCGUCUGGCUAGAGUCCGGAAGAGGAGUGUGGAAUUCCUGGUGUAGCGGUGAAAUGCGCAGAUAUCAGGAAGAACACCUAUGGCGAAGGCAGCACUCUGGGACGGUACUGACGCUGAGACGCGAAAGCGUGGGGAGCGAACAGG
rnacentral:rRNA from 1 species